rnacentral:rRNA from 1 species
AUUGGAAUUCCUGGUGUAGCGGUGGAAUGCGCAGAUAUCAGGAGGAACACCGAUGGCGAAGGCAGAUCUCUGGGCCGUAACUGACGCUGAGGAGCGAAAGGGUGGGGAGCAAACAGGCUUAGAUACCCUGGUAGUCCACCCCGUAAACGUUGGGAACUAGUUGUGGGGUCCAUUCCACGGAUUCCGUGACGCAGCUAACGCAUUAAGUUCCCCGCCUGGGGAGUACGGCCGCAAGGCUAAAACUCAAAGGAAUUGACGGGGACCCGCACAAGCGGCGGAGCAUGCGGAUUAAUUCGAUGCAACGCGAAGAACCUUACCAAGGCUUGACAUACACGAGAACGCUGCAGAAAUGUAGAACUCUUUGGACACUCGUGAACAGGUGGUGCAUGGUUGUCGUCAGCUCGUGUCGUGAGAUGUUGGGUUAAGUCCCGCAACGAGCGCAACCCUCGUUCUAUGUUGCCAGCACGUAAUGGUGGGAACUCAUGGGAUACUGCCGGGGUCAACUCGGAGGAAGGUGGGGAUGACGUCAAAUCAUCAUGCCCCUUAUGUCUUGGGCUUCACGCAUGCUACAAUGGCCGGUACAAAGGGCUGCAAUACCGUGAGGUGGAGCGAAUCCCAAAAAGCCGGUCCCAGUUCGGAUUGAGGUCUGCAACUCGACCUCAUGAAGUCGGAGUCGCUAGUAAUCGCAGAUCAGCAACGCUGCGGUGAAUACGUUCCCGGGUCUUGUACACACCGCCCGUCAAGUCAUGAAAGUCGGUAACACCUGAAGCCGGUGGCCCAACCCUUGUGGAGGGAGCCGU